UUUGAUCCUGGCUCAGGAUGAACGCUAGCGGCAGGCCUAAUACAUGCAAGUCGAGGGGUAAGGCUCACUUCGGUGAGUACACGACCGGCGCACGGGUGCGUAACGCGUAUGCAACCUACCUUUAACUGGGAGAUAGCCCCGAGAAAUCGGGAUUAAUACCCCAUAAUGAUAUUGAUUGGCAUCAAUUGAUAUUUAAAGCUCCGGCGGUUAAAGAUGGGCAUGCGUGACAUUAGUUUGUUGGUGAGGUAACGGCUCACCAAGACUAUGAUGUCUAGGGGUUCUGAGAGGAUGAUCCCCCACACUGGUACUGAGACACGGACCAAACUCCUACGGGAGGCCGCAGUAAAGGAUAUUGCGCCAUGGAGGCAACUCUGAAGCAGCCCUGCCCCCGCGAAAGAAGAAAGGCUUUAUGAAUCGUAAACUUCUUUUAUC
rnacentral:rRNA from 1 species